rnacentral:pre_miRNA from 1 species
GUGUGUGGAUGGUGUUCAGCACCAAGGACAGGUAUGUUUACCUGUGUGUUGAUGGUGUUCAGCAAGAAGGGCCGGUGUGUUCCUGU